GCCGGUAACAUAGGGAUCAUCGUUCUUUACAUUCAAGUCAGUGCUCGUGUGAAUGGUGUGCAAAUUACGCGUGCUGACUGUUUCGUUUGGGGAAGAGAAAAGUGUGGUAAUAAUGUAAUACUUUUUUUACAUGUUAAACGUAGGAACAUAUUUGAUGGAAAAAGGCUGUAGACUAAAAAUUCCAAGUCCGGUGUUUGACAAUAACGGCAAGAUUCUAACCGAUUUUACCUUUUCUGCAAGGAGCGUCAUAUCGGUAUUAUUGUGCGGAAGAGGAAGUGAAUAAUGUAGCGAUUGGAAUGAGUUUCUGGGAACUCCAGUGGUGUCACCAUUUGACAGCCCAGUUAAGAGGGUUGUGUACACGGGAUACACAUGAAGCAUAUACAAGACUACAGCUCAGUAAUGGUGUUUGCAUCAGUGAGCAUGGAAAUUAAAUCGCCACGUGGAAAUGGUCCAAACCAUUUCUGGAUGCAUGGCCAGAUUUGUCUCUUGAUGUCAAAUAAGCCAGAAUAUGGACAGCUGCUGAGGAAACAGCAGAACCGCUUGAAAGCCAGCAGACCGAGGGUGUAGACCGCAGUACUGCAGCGGUUAGACAAGAUGCUGCAAUAAGGUUAGAAGAUUAAGCUGAUUGUGCAAGAAAGUUGUUAAGCUAUAAGGGAGCAAGGACGAGGACCAGGACUAUGGAAGAACCAUUAGGAAACUGUAACGCUAUAACCACGAUGUGAAAUUUGGACAACGAGCAAAUAUUGGGGGGGGGAUGUAAGAUGAAGGAAAA